AUCGAAACUCAGCCUUAUGGCUAAAAUCAAAGGGUAGUAUAUGUUCUUAUCAGCUUAACAUCUGAUAGAUUCUCCAUCGGAGGACAACAAACGUUAAACUGAUUUUUGGAAACCUCCU
rnacentral:snRNA from 1 species